GACAGGGAAAGUGAGCAAUCACGCUACGAGAUCGGUCCGCGGCCCAUUAGCUAGUUGGCGGGGUAAUGGCCCACCAAGGCGACGAUGGGUAGCUGGUCUGAGAGGAUGAUCAGCCACACUGGAACUGAGACACGGUCCAGACUCCGUACGGGAGGCAGCAGGUGGGGUAAUUUUGCGCAAGUGGGCGAAAGCCUGACGCAGCAACGCCGCGUGUGUGACGAAGGCCCUAGGGUUGUAAAGCACUGUGGGAGGGGAAGAAAAAACCGGAGUGUAUCCGGUCUUGACGGUACCCUGUUAGAAAGCACCGGCUAACUCCGUGCCAGCAGCCGCGGUAAUACGGAGGGUGCAAGCGUUGUUCGGAAUUAUUGGGCGUAAAGGGCGUGUAGGUGGCAUUUCAAGUCUGGUGUGAAAGCCCACGGCUCAACCGUGGAACUGCAUUGGAAACUGAAAAGCUCGAGUAUUGGAGGGGGGUCGCGGAAUUCCCGGUGUAGAGGUGAAAUUCGUAGAUAUCGGGAG
rnacentral:rRNA from 1 species